UAGAGAUUGCAACACUCUUCAGAAAGUAGAAGGGUCAGGGGUUGUGUUCUCCAUGGACUGUUACUGGAGCUACAGCAGAGAGGAAUUAUUCCAGAAACCAAACAGAUGGCAGGGAGACCCUGCAAAGACCUUUAUUAUGGAGGCUCUGUGACCCAAGCCACCCCGUCAGAGCUUCCAGAAGAGCAGGGAGGUGGACACAGAAGAAUCCAGUUGCCUACAGGGGUGUGUAAUGAAUCAGAGCCAAACAGGAUAGAGAGGCUGAUUCAUAUCCUGAAUUUUCAACAACCAUUAUUAAUCGUACAAACAUCCUGCCUCAGAAGUGCUGCAAAAUCCUGCUGCAGAAAUCUCAUUGUUGGCUG